UGGGGAAUCUUGCGCAAUGGGCGAAAGCCUGACGCAGCGACGCCGCGUGAGUGAUGAAGGCCUUCGGGUUGUAAAGCUCUGUGGGGAGAGAAGAAUAAGUGCGGGCUAAUACCCCGCAUGAUGACGGUAUCUCCUUAGCAAGCACCGGCUAACUCUGUGCCAGCAGCCGCGGUAAGACAGAGGGUGCAAACGUUGUUCGGAAUUACUGGGCGUAAAGCGAGUGUAGGCGGUUUGGUAAGUCGGAUGUGAAAGCCCCGGGCUCAACCCGGGAAGUGCAUUCGAUACUGCCAAGCUAGAGUAUCGGAGAGGUUGGUGGAAUUCUCGGUGUAGAGGUGAAAUUCGUAGAUAUCGAGAGGAACACCGGUGGCGAAGGCGGCCAACUGGACGAAUACUGACGCUGAGACUCGAAAGCGUGGGGAGCAAACAGGAUUAGAUACCCUCGUAGUCCCUGAGCGGGCUGGCAAGGCGCAU
rnacentral:rRNA from 1 species